rnacentral:rRNA from 1 species
UACGGGGGGGGCAAGCGUUGUUCGGAAUUACUGGGCGUAAAGGGCUCGUAGGUGGCCAACUAAGUCAGACGUGAAAUCCCUCGGCUUAACCGGGGAACUGCGUCUGAUACUGGAUGGCUUGAGUUUGGGAGAGGGAUGCGGAAUUCCAGGUGUAGCGGUGAAAUGCGUAGAUAUCUGGAGGAACACCGGUGGCGAAGGCGGCGAUCCUGGACCAACACUGACACUGAGGAGCGAAAGCCAGGGGAGCAAACGGG